GGAGAGAUGGCUCAGAGGUUAAGAGCACUGACUGUUCUUCCAGAGGUCCUGAGUUCAAUUCCCAGCAACCACA
rnacentral:tRNA from 1 species